UUGGUGAUAGAAAAGAAUAAUUUUGGCCAAAUUUGGGAAGAAUAAAAAUAAAAUCUCAAUCAAAUUCAAGUCUUGAUUCAAUAGAGAUUCACCCAUAUUUUUAGUGCCCUAAUAUGAUCCAUUAUAUAUAUGUUAUUGAUCAAAAGCAUGGUGGGAAUUUUUUGACAAGGAUUUGCAGCAAAAGAAUCAAAGAAAAACUCAAGAAACUCAAAGAAAUUUGAAGCUCGGUUCUGGAGAUUGGGGUAGAUUAAAAGCAUUCUGAAGAUUGCAACUCGACCAUUGGCACUCCCUGAAGCGUUUCAGACCAUCACCUAUCAUCAACGCGUUCAGAAUCACGCUGUAGAACUCACGGGAUCACGUUCGGCCAUGACUAGGGUUUAGGUUAGUGAUUUUGGGGAAACCUGGUUAUACCCGAUUUCAGACCAAAUUAGAGGUCCCAUUGAAUUCGUGGGGAUGCAUAGGUUCGAUCUGGGUUGUUGUAUUGUGUUUGUUGAUUUUAAUUUGCAGGAUCAGAGCUUUGUGACAUACAGCCAUGUUAAAAAACCGUGGCCUAAAGUUUGUGUUUUAAGAGAACACCAAGGUUGAAGACGAAGGGUAUCUGGCGCCAUUAUUUCUGGUUUGAAUUUUGCUAUGUAUUUUUUAUAUAUUAUUUAAUUGAUUCAUAUAAUUAACAACGAACAUGUUUGGCUGAAUUGGCAUGGCACGUUUGUUUGGAACUGAGACGACCUGGGUUCGAUCCCAGCGUCGUGCUAUGUUUUUUCAUAAUGUUUUGUUUCGGAUCCAGCGUCCCUAGUCUCUGAAGGAACACCAUACGCCUGCAUAUCAAAACCGUCCGAUCACCUGAGAUGCAAAUCCAACGCUCAUCAACUGCAAGUCUACCAUGGACUUCUCAAAUGCACCACACGGGAUCAGCUAAGCACAUUUUUCUAAUUUUUUUUAUUUUAUUUCAUGUUUUAUUUAUUCAUUUGAUUAUAUAACUUGUUUUUUUUGUUUAUUUUGUAAAUCCUUUUAAAAAAAAUCUUUUUAAGGAAUAAAACUCCUUUAAAAUUUCUUUUUUUCUCAUAAAAAAACAUAAUAUAUUUGAUUAUUAUUAAAUAAUUUUAUUUUAAUUGUUUUAAAUUUGAUUUAAUUUGUUUAAGUUAUUUAUUUAAUUAGGUAGAUAAUUUUUUAGGUUUAGAUAUUUAAUCGAAGCCUGUCUUUUCACUGAUUUAAUUAAUUAGGUUGAAAAACCAAUAAUUAAUUAAAUCAAUGUUAUUUAUUCUAUUAACUAGAGUUAACUUACGCCCGAAUCAGGGUUAGCGAGAAUAUUGCCCUACACUAAAAAAAUAUUUUUGUGUGUCCUUUUCAGGGUUGUUUUCAGAUGCUUUCCGAUUACGCGCCACGCCUUUCACAAAGCUAAGUCCCGAUUCAACUCUCGUUAUUAUUUAUUUUUCCUUUUCUUUUUUUAUUUAAUACAAUAUUAUUUUUGCCUUUUAUUCUUUUUAAUUAUUUAUUUUGCCUUGCUAAUUUAAAAGAAUUGUCCAUACACUCACUUCCUAUUAUUUUCCUGUUAAUUCUCAGAUGUUCAGAGUCAAUGCUCGAGGCAACCUCCGACUAUCAACCUUAUCAAUCAAAGCUAAGUUUCUAUAUUUAUUUUCUUUUUUUUUCUUUUAUCCUUUUUAUUUUGAUUAGGGUUAACCGUACCUGCCAUUGAAUUAAUAAUGCACUCACCCCUUUUUGGUUUCUAUUUUUCCCACAUUUUCAGGGUUUGCCAACCGCCAAAGCUCAAAUAGUCGGUAACCCUAAAACUCUAAUCUCUUUUAUUUUUCUGCUUAAUUAUUACUUAUGUCAAACCCGCUGGUUUCUUUUUCCCUUCCCCAUAUUCUCAUGUAUCUGUUCCUGGUUUGUAUUGUUUGGCCUUAAAGGCACUUAAGACUGUUUUAUAUUUUCUGCCAUGGUUAGUAAUUUAUGGAGUGCAACCUUGAACUGAAUUAGAGCCAUUUAAUUACAAGAUAAUAUAUUUCGAAUUGAAUCACAUGAUUGUUGCACCCACACACACUUUUUUGGUAACCUCUUUUACUGCCUGUUGCCUGUUGCCUUGUGUUUUUUUUUGCAGAAUAGCCAUGUCCCUCGAAUACGAGGAUAUCUCAGCCAUGUUGCCUCGAUUAAUGCAAAGAUCAUAAGUCCCUAAUGAUGAUGCCUUCGAUACACUAAUAUGAUCUCUUCCCUCGGAAGUUGCCUACGAAAGGCUGAGGUAUCCUCUGGUUGCCUAAACGAAAGGCUAUUCUGAUCCUUCCCUUAGACUACCUGCCUCUCUAUGGCAUGGGACAGUCUUAUGGCGAACGAUAUUGCGACGACCCUUCAACCUCCAAAUGAAAGGCUUCCUGCCCUCUUAUGGCAUGGAUAUACCCUUUCACCCUGAAAGGCUAAAAGACUUGUUUUUCUACAUUAUUAAGGUAAUUGCUCCUAAUUGCCUUGCUCUGGCUAAAAUCUUUUUCUUACACUUUUUCAUAAACCUUCAAUAUGGCUACGCUCAUUUACGAGCUAAAGUCCGUAUUCUCUUCUUCUACAUUUCUGAAACUUUUGGCUUCAAAACUAAAGAGCAAAGCAAUUAAGAGCCCAUGGAUAACCAUGGAUGCAAAGGGUGCUUUACACCUUCCCUUUGCAUAAUUACCCCCGAACUCAGUUUUUAUUUAAAAGGUUUUUCCUGUUCUUUUAGCCUUUCUGAUAUUUGGAUAAAAUAAAAGUCAGUGGCGACUCUUGCUAUCCACACAUUUUGAUAAAGUCAGUUCACCAUAUUACAGACGGAAUCAACCACGUUUCUCCCGUCUCAUCAACUCUCUUCGAUUCAAUCUUAUUGUCUCACAGCUCCGACCGAAGGAGUCUCCAGUGACUCUUCAAGAUGUUAAUAACAGAAAUGCAAAGAUCUCCAGGUGAUGAUAAGCGUUGAAUGAUUACCGAUUGUUAUUUGCAGUGCGUUGAAGAUAUGGAGAAAGACGAAGAUCUUGUGGAGCAAUGAUGACGUCGAGCGAUUGCCGCUGUGAAGAGUUCACGUGAUAUUUUUGUGUAUGGAGAUUGUGAUUCUUCUGCAGGUUCAAGAACGAAUGAUGAAGCACAGAGUUUGGUGAUUUUCUGAGGAUUGAAGAAGAGAUGAUGAAGAUGAUGAAGAGAAGUUAAGGAUUUGUAUGUUACGUGAUUGUGUGAAGAAUCCUAUGAAGAUUGAAGAGUGAAUUCGGUUCAGAGACUUAGAGAGAGUGAGGGAGAAGAUGAUUAUCUGGUGGAAUCGUGAAGAGGUUGAAGGUUUCUGGAGAAAGAAGAUUCAAAGCUUCAGAAAGUUUGUUACAAGUUUUCUUUGGGAUUUGUUUGAAUUUGUUGCAGCUACGGUUUGUUGGAGAAGUGUAGGGUCGAUUUAGUUGUGGUUCACUGAUGCGGUUCAAUCUUUCCUUCUUGCUGUAAUUUUGGUUCGUUUUUGAAGUAUGCAGGAUUUUUUAUGUAGAGUCGUUGAUGAAGCUCAAGCUAUGGCAUGGAACUUCUAUAGACUAAGAAUAUUUUUUGUGUACUUCUUUUGUAGUUUGAUUGUUUUCUAAUGGACAUUUGAAUGAGAACUUGAAUUUUUUGGAUGAAUAAUGAUGUAUAUUUUCUCAUGAUGUAAUGUUAAUUGGACUUUUGAAAUUGUGUUUGAUUGUAAUUUGCAAUGGAAUAUUUGACUUUGUAAUGGAUAGUGAUGAAUAAUGACUUGAUGAAUGAAAUCAACGAAAAGCCUUACAGGACUUUGUAUUCCCAUUUCAAUUCGCAUAAAAACCUGAAUUCAAUCUUCAACACAAUUCUCCUUGCAUCGCAAUCAACAAAUCAAUGAGAGAAAUGAUAGAGCUUUGAUCACAAGUAAUUCACGACCUUAUUUCUUGCAUCCUGUACCUUAGCUUGAAUUAGAUUCUUAAUGAACAAAAUACCUUGAACAAAAUUUGAAUAAUAAAGGCAAUUAGAUCAUCAAAUUCAUCCUCAAAUCAUUGUGACCUUAAUUCAGUCUCAAUCCCUUAAUUCAA